GUCUACAGCCAUGCUACCCUGAACAAGCCAAAUCUCGUCUGAUCUCAGAAGCUAAUAAGUAGGGUCGGGCCUGGUUAGUACUUGGAUGGGAUACCAAGUGCUGUAGGCG
rnacentral:rRNA from 1 species